rnacentral:rRNA from 1 species
GAUGAACGCUAGCAGCAGGCUUAAUACAUGCAAGUCGAGGGGCAUCAAGGUACACGAAAGUGUAUUGUUGGCGACCGGCGGACGGGUGAGUAAUAGGUAGGUAACCUACCUCAUACUGAGGCAUAGCUGGGAGAAAUUCCAGGUAAUUCCUCAUGAGGUUAUAUGACACAUGUGAUAUAAUCAAAGGUAUCGCAAGGUACUGGUAUGAGAUGGGCUUACUGACCAUUAGCUAGUUGGUGAGAUAAGAGCUCACCAAGGCGAAGAUGGUUAGGGUUUGAGAGGAUUAGUCCCCAACUGGUACUGAGACACGGACCAGACUCCUACGGGAGCAGCAGUAAGGAAUAUUGGUCAAUGGGCGCAAGCCUGAACCAGCCAUGCCGCGUGAAGGAUGACGGCCCUAUGGGUUGUAAACUUUUUUGUACGGAAAAACCCCGGUCUGUAUCGGUGCUGAUGGUACCGUAAGAAUAAGCAAUCGGCUAACUCCGUG